GACGAGGGAUCCUAGCGUUGCUCGGAAUUAUUGGGCGUAAAGCGGGUGUAGGUGGCUUGGUAAGUCGGGUGUGAAAGCCCAGGGCUCAACCCUGGAAGUGCAUUCGAUACUACUGAGCUUGAGUGCGAGAGAGGUUAAUAGAAUACCUGGUGUAGUGGUGAAAUACGUAGAUAUCAGGUGGAACACCGGAGGCGAAGGCGGUUAACUGGCUCGACACUGACGCUGAGACCCGAAAGUGCGGGGAUCAAACAGG
rnacentral:rRNA from 1 species